rnacentral:rRNA from 1 species
CCCAGACUCCUACGGGAGGCAGCAGUGAGGAAUAUUGGUCAAUGGGCGCGAGCCUGAACCAGCCAAGUCGCGUGAGGGAAGACGGUCCUAUGGAUUGUAAACCUCUUUUGUCGGGGAGCAAAAGACGCCACGUGUGGCGUUCCGAGAGUACCCGAAGAAAAAGCAUCGGCUAACUCCGUGCCAGCAGCCGCGGUAAUACGGAGGAUGCGAGCGUUAUCCGGAUUUAUUGGGUUUAAAGGGUGCGUAGGCGGACGCUUAAGUCGGCGGUAAAAUUGCGGGGCUCAACCUCGUCGAGCCGUUGAAACUGGGUGCCUUGAGUGGGCGAGAAGAAGGCGGAAUGCGUGGUGUAGCGGUGAAAUGCAUAGAUAUCACGCAGAACCCCGAUUGCGAAGGCAGCCUUCCGGCGCCCUACUGACGCUGAGGCACGAAAGUGCGGGGAUCGAACAGGAUUAGAUACCCCAGUACCG